rnacentral:rRNA from 1 species
GCAUAUCAAUAAGCNGAGGAAAAGAAACCAACCGGGAUUGCCUUAGUAACGGCGAGUGAAGCGGCAAAAGCUCAAAUUUGAAAUCUGGUACCUUCGGUGCCCGAGUUGUAAUUUGGAGAGGGCAACUUUGGGGCCGUUCCUUGUCUAUGUUCCUUGGAACAGGACGUCAUAGAGGGUGAGAAUCCCGUGUGGCGAGGAGUGCGGUUCUUUGUAAAGUGCCUUCGAAGAGUCGAGUUGUUUGGGAAUGCAGCUCUAAGUGGGUGGUAAAUUCCAUCUAAAGCUAAAUAUUGGCGAGAGACCGAUAGCGAACAAGUACAGUGAUGGAAAGAUGAAAAGAACUUUGAAAAGAGAGUGAAAAAGUACGUGAAAUUGUUGAAAGGGAAGGGCAUUUGAUCAGACAUGGUGUUUUGUGCCCUCUGCUCCUUGUGGGUAGGGGAAUCUCGCAUUUCACUGGGCCAGCAUCAGUUUUGGUGGCAGGAUAAAUCCAUAGGAAUGUAGCUUGCCUCGGUAAGUAUUAUAGCCUGUGGGAAUACUGCCAGCUGGGACUGAGGACUGCGACGUAAGUCAAGGAUGC